GAUUCAUGACUGGGGUGAAGUCGUAACAAGGUAACCGUAGGGGAACCUGCGGUUGGAUCACCUCCUUACCUGAAA
rnacentral:rRNA from 1 species